CUGCUCCUUUGGUUGCAGAGACACGUUGAGGCCAUAGAGCCAGGGAAGUUCUGAGCACACGGAGGACAGACCAGGGCAGUGCUGUGAGGCCCAGACAAACAUCGGUAGGCGACAUAAGUGGGGGACAGAUUCUAACACCUUGAUUCCUCAUGUCUGUGUUUCUGCAGCACAGAGCAUGGACAGUCUGUGUGGCAGCGUCCACGAUGAAGAUGACACAGGUAGGAACAGCUCUCGGGUAGGGGCCAAUGGGAGAGGGUUCCCGGGACACUUGGGUUGCGCCUGCUGCUUGGGGUGUGGGGCAGGUGAGUCUGAAAUCUAACAACAGAAAGAAAUUGGUGUAAAGAUGUUCAUCGCCUGUUUUAAGAGGGAGAGGGAGCAGAUGAAGAGGUGCCGGAAUGUUGGCAUCUGUGCUCACAUUGGGUCGAAGCGUCUCAGUCCCUGGAGCCGAGGGCAGGUGUGGGCACCUGGAGGAAAAACCAGGGUGAUGCUCCGUGACCCGCAGUCACCUCAGGGACGGGGAGACGCGGGAGGGCCGCUGUUUGUACGUCCUUGAUUCCCGCGGUGUGUUUCUGCAGACUCGGUGGUGGAGAGCAGCAACAGCCACCAGGACGAGGAGGCUGCAGAAUCUUGCUUUGGGAGGAAAGGAUCUUGCUUCAGGAGCCUGAGGAUAAGUUUGUCCUCUGCGAGCUUGGCUAGACUAAUCCCCUGGUGGCCGCACAACAGGGUGCACCCAGCCACUGAGCCAGAUGAAGCAACGCACGACGAUGUUGUGGAGGCCGGUGGGAGUGAGAAGACCGAGGAGGAGGCCCAGGCUGUGACCAAGGAGGAGGAGGCGGGCCCGGCCCCUGAGAAGGGGGCAGAGGAGGCCGCAGCCGUUGGCGAGGCAGAGGAGGAGGCGGGCCCAGGCAGUGACAAUGACAAGACGUCCCCAGCCAGGGCUGGGGCUGAGCAGGAAGAUGAAUCUGCCCCCAAGGUAAGCUCACCUUUCUUGAUGUGAGGUUGGAAAAGUCGCCUCCUUUCUUUUUUGAUAUUCCUACCUGAGAAAUGAAAAUCUGAGGAAGUCCAUUGUUUAUGAGGCAUGCAGAUUCCUCUGCGGAGGAAUGUGGCGUCAACGUUUGGUACCAGCAACUAGCUCC
rnacentral:lncRNA from 1 species